AGAGCCUCAAAGAGCACCCAGCAUAACUGUGGGAGAAUAGUAAGCAUUGGACACAAAAUGGUUUAGGCAAAUAAUGAUGAACAAAAAUGGUCAGUCUGUGUUCCUGCUGACCCAGCACAGUGGGGACGCUGUGUAGGACAUGACCUUUGGGGGAAAGGACACAAGAACUCAGCGUGGGGGAUCCAGAAAAGAAGUCGCACGUAUUGAAGCCAGUAACGCCAAGCCAGUGAAUUCUCCUUGACGAGAAAGACCCACUUACUCUGCAGAAGAGAUAUAUGACAGCUGACAAUCCCUGGAGGAGAAUCUUUCUACUAAAUUGUUGAAAACAUUCAAGUACGGAAUAAACUAUUACUGCGAAUACGCUCAUAUGACACAAGAACAAUCUCUGAGCUUCUUUGAGGAUGUCCAGAUGACUGCUGACUGCACUAAUUGCAUCAAUCGUGUAUCCAUACAGGUUCUUUCUAUAAAAUAGUGGUCGCUAGUUAUGAGGCGUUAAGCCUUCAUGGAUAUAAACAGACUAUUCCACCUAAGUGAUCUGGCAGAAGCUUAGUUUUCUACCACAACAUCCACCGUCCUCCCUCCCUCCCUUCCUAGCUGGUCAGAAAAGCUACUCAGAAUAAAGACUACAUUUCCCAGCCAUCUUUGCAGCUAGGUUUAUCCACCUGACUAAAUUCCACCGUAACUCCAGGUUGAAGAACUUCUACUUAUAGGCAUCUAUUCAACGAAGACGAAUCCUGGAAUGGGGAUGGAAAUGAUGGCUCAUGUCUUAGCAAACUACCAAACUGAUCCGAGAGGACAGGGAAGUCAGUGUGGGCGGCUCUAAGGAGCCUCCCUCUCUACAGCUGCGGCUCAGAGGAUUACGGCGCUUCAUCCACAAGGCAACAUUGCACAAGUAGCUUUUGAACAAAAGUCAUGGAUACUAUUAAUGAUAUGGUAAUCCUUAAUCGAGCUACCUCCCAGUAGUGAUUAUACUGACAUGGGAAGAAUAUCUAAGUCGUGGAGGCAGCCCACAACAACACUGUGUCAUUGUUCACCCCGGGCUCGACCAGGACUAACUUUUACCAGCAUCUCUAACGUCACCUUUCCCCUGAUGCCUCCCCACAACCCCUGGCCCCAGCUCCCAUUCCCGCCCCAUCAUAGCAAAAAAGUAGCAAAGAAAACCCUGAUCCUAAA
rnacentral:lncRNA from 1 species